CAGAGCCCCGCCCCCGGGCCGGCCUAUCUCCGACCAGCCGCUGACCUUGGGUAGCCUAAGUGAGCUGCGGAGCUCCUCGACUGCAGAAGAGUUCUAGGGUGGCACACCCCUACAUAUUGGCGGCAACUGAUAUGCUUGAAUACACACACGAUAGGGAAGCGGUGGAAAAUAUGGGAAAUUUAAAAUGGACAGGUGGCCGCGCGAUCACCCAGUGUGCUUCUAGCACGCAGUUUCCACCACCUGGGUCCGCUACUAAAGCGAGUGCCUCCAGGACAGGGAAGACCCCAGCAGCCCGGUGAUGCAAAAUAAACUGGUAAGACUAACAUUUACUAAGUGCUCCUUUGUUCCUCUGUGUCACUUAAUCCUCAUGGCAAUCUUAUUGUUUUUAUCCCCAUAAUACAGAUAAAGAAACUGAGGCCCAGAGAUGCAUGUUAUCUGAAGUGCCAGAGCCCAGGGUCUUGAACUCAAACUGAUUCCAGUUAGAAUAAAUGAAUGAGGCUGGGCCUGGUAGCUCAUGCCUGUAAUCCCAGAACUUUGGGAGGCUGAGGCAGGCAGAUUACUUGAGGU